UGAUAUUCCAGAACUGAAGUAACCUAGUCUCAUAGUAGUGCUUCCAUUAUUCUAGAGUAAUGUUCUACAGAAAAAGUGUUCCAAUGUAUCCACUAUUACAGAGCAAUAAUAUUCCAUGCAGUACGUACUAUUAUUCGUAGUCGGAAUACCAUUAUAGAGCAAGAAUACUCCAUGCAGAAUGUGCAAGAUCUAUUGGAAUAUAAUUCCCAUUAGAAUAUUGGGAAGGCCCUCUUCUAAGGGAUAUGUCCAAGAAGACUGUUGUGUGGACAGGAGGGUGAGGAGUCACCAAAUGAGUCAGUACGUACCAUCUUCUCCUAGUGAGCCAAGACUCGCAAGCCUUAGGCAAAGAAGAUGCUAAUGUUGUUGGUCCUCCGUCAACAAGACUAUAAAUAUUAGAAUUACAUAGCCGAGAUUUGUUUGUUGUAACUUUUUUUUUUUUUUUUGUUAGUUUUCUUAUUACAACUGUUAUUGAGUUGUUACUAAGCUAUUACUAAGCUCUUUAUAUAGCUUUUGUCUCUGUAGUUUAAGUUUAGUUUUGGUUUAAUAAAGAGUUUUCUCUUCUUCCAUUUCCUUGCUUUCAUCUUAAUAUGGUAUCAAAGCUUUGAUACAAUUUACUGCAAUUUCUCAUAUCUGAUUCUUCUAAUCUUUGUUUUCCUUCAAGAUUGUUGAGUAUUGUUGUUUUUUUUUUCCAAUUUUUAUGGAGACUCCAUCAUCUAAAAACACGAGUCAUUCUUGGUCAUCUUCAAACAUAUCUGCCAUUGAUGAACCUUCUAGUCCUUACUUCAUCAUUCGGAUAGUCCAGGACUCAUUCUUGUUUCGCAACCUCUCACUGGAGAUAACUAUGCCUCUUAGAGUAGAACGAUGUUGAUUGCUUUGUCUAUGAAGAAUAAACUAGGAUUCGUUGAUGGCUCAAUCGUCAAACCUGAAGGAACUCAGCACCAAGAGGAUGAUUGGCUAGGGUGACAAGCUUGAAGAUCUUUAUAUUCUUUAUAUAGAUACAUUGAAGUCUACUUCUACAGUUUUUGUAAAUAAUGUUUCAGCUCAUGUAUGGUACAAUAGACUUGGUCAUCUUUCUUUCAAACGUUUAGAUGCUUUGAAAAAUCAUUUACAUUGUGAUGUACUGAUGUGUCACAAUUGAAUAAAGCUUUUCCUUGUUGCA